UACGUAGGGUGCGAGCGUUAAUCGGAAUUACUGGGCGUAAAGCGUGCGCAGGCGGUGAUGUAAGACAGGUGUGAAAUCCCCGGGCUCAACCUGGGAACUGCAUCUGUGACUGCAUCGCUGGAGUGCGGCAGAGGGGGAUGGAAUUCCGCGUGUAGCAGUGAAAUGCGUAGAUAUGCGGAGGAACACCGAUGGCGAAGGCAAUCCCCUGGGCCUGCACUGACGCUCAUGCACGAAAGCGUGGGGAGCAAACAGG
rnacentral:rRNA from 1 species